rnacentral:lncRNA from 1 species
CCCUACAACCCAAGAAGGUAUGAGCCAUCUGAGGGUUCUGGCCCCCAGCCCCAGUGCUGGCUGAAACGAGUAAUGCCAUUUAUUAAUCUAGCACAAUAGCAUCACCUAGGACCUGGCUGGCAAGAAGCCAGGAUCUGGGCUCCAGAAGCAGGCAGGGAAUUACUCAACCCGGGUCCUGCAGCCCUCUCACUCCCAACCCUUCACUCUCUUGGAGAGGUGAACAAUCUAGCUGGCAGGUGGCUUGUUUGUUUCUGACUCACCGCACCCCCCCCCCAACCUUAGUGGCCAGGUGGCCCGUUCCCUGUUCUCACUGUGACUUGUCCUGGGAUCAGCCUCUUGUGGUUGUGUUUUCGAACACACCACUCAUCAUCUUGCCUCUGGGAAUCCCGGCACACCUUUUAGACAUGCUCGAACAGAGAGGCUGCCAAACCAGCGUAUGGUCACACAGCAGU